UACUGAUGUAUCGAGGUUCGGUUCCAGUUGUUCAGCAACCGAAUUAGCGGAGAGCUAGGGUUUGGUGAGAGUCAGACGAUGAGGGUAGUGAGAUCGUUCUGUGUUGGAUCGGAGAUCGGCGACUUACGGCGCCGUUGGAGUUGGAGGUCGGCGUGUGACGGUGCCGUUGAAGUUGGAGAUCGGCGAUGGAAUUUAUAACUUGGUCGGAGGUGAAUGCGAAGGCGUGGCCGUGUAGCGGGUACGAAUUAAAUUUCACAGUUGGGGUUAGACUAUAAUUUUACGUUUGGUAGUUGCCAACAUAGAAGGUAAUAUAAGAAUAAGCGAA
rnacentral:lncRNA from 1 species